rnacentral:tRNA from 1 species
UAGGAAAUGGUGUAGUGGGAGCACCGAGAGUUUUGGUCUCUCUAGGGGGGGUUCAAGUCCCCUUUUUCUAA